rnacentral:rRNA from 1 species
AUGGCGCGAAAAGGGGGUCAAAGUAAAAGUGGUCCGAAUCUUGCUUCACCUAAUCGGCAAAAUACAACUAAUGGUGAUAUACUAAAUACACCAGAAAGAGAUCCAGUGCAUGGUGAAGAUCCAAGUUCACAUCUUCAAGGUAAAUCAAAUGGUUCUGGAGGGAACACUGGCCAGAAAACAAAAAGCAACAAGAAGAAUAACAAAAGCAAUGGCACCUCCUUUGGUAAAUCUGAUGACAUAACUUCACAUAAACAACAACCAGAAGAUAUCAGUACUGAUAUGCAAAAUUCAGAAGAACCUGGGCCACCUUUCAGCAGUACCAGACCAAGAAGAGAUGGCAAGAAAUCCUCACGGCGUGGCUUUGGUAAAAACUCAUCAGUAGAACAAACCCCAUUGCGUAUUUUGACAGAGCAAGUCAAAGAGAAGACCAGGCAUGUUACUUCCAUGGCUGCAUCCUUUUUUAGAACCUCGAUGAUGUAUGUGAUGGAAGAAAGCAAAGUAUUGGUUGAGAAAAAUAGGCCAGCUAUCACAGCUUUCAUGGCAAUGGCGGAAAAAGGGCGUGCCUAUGCCCUCGGCAAAAUGGAGUAUGUUUAUCCUAUUGCUCGGGCCUGGAUGUUUAGUGCUGGAAAGCUGAUGUUGCUCUUGUUGACUGUUUGGUUAGACUGCAACAUAAGGGGCUUCGAUUCUCUGCUUCGUCUGGGGACAAAUUCCCUUAUUGCAGUACUUUGGUGCAGCAUGUUGUCAAUUUUUGCAAUGAUUGGGAUAAAGAAAAUGCUCAUGUUCAUGGUGAUUGCUGCUUCUGUGGUUGCUUUUAUUGGUAUUGGUUUUGCUGUCCUGAUUGUCGCGGUGCUUGCAGUGGUGAUUUUAUGGCUGUAUGGAAGCUUUUGGACAACAAGCACUGUAGUAAUUGUUGGAGGUGCUUCCUUUUUGUUGAAGCAUGAACGAUUUGCUCUGCUUGUCACCUGCCUAUAUUCAAUGUAUUGUGCAAGAAGCUACAUUGGAUGGCUUGGAUUACUUUUGAGCCUGAAUUUGUCUUUCUUUUCAACUGAUGUUCUAGUCCAGUUCCUGAAGAAAAAUGUAGACAAUGAAAAUGGUUCUUCAAGGAACUCUGAUCAAAAUUCAGACAGAUCAAGCAAUUUCUUUGGGGAAUUUCAGCAAUCAUCAAAAGACAGCAGCUCACAUUCUGGAUAUACUCAACCUUCUAAUCGUGGCCCUGGUGAUCCGUCAACAAGUGGAGCUGAGGAGUUAACCUCUGAAGAUGAAGUGGCACGUUUAUUGAAUUGCGCCGAUCACUAUUCGGCAUUUGGAUUUCGCCUGUAUGAAAUCAUAGAUGUAUCAGUACUCAAGAGAGAAUACAAGAAAAAGGCUAUGUUAGUCCAUCCUGAUAAGAAUAUGGGCAAUGAUAAAGCUGCUGAUGCAUUUAAAAAGCUUCAAAACGCAUAUGAGGUUCUUCUUGAUUCAGUGAAACGAAAGACAUAUGACGAUGAGUUAAGGAGGGAGGAGCUACUGAACUACUUCAGGCGGUUCCAGGGUGCUUCUCAAAAGAAAGGAGGACAUGGUACAUUCCAACAAGGGUUUAGCCCCUCUGAAGGUGUUGAUGAAGGACCUUCUGCUCUAUCGAGAAGAAUAGCCUGCAAGAAAUGUGGCGAUUUCCAUCUGUGGAUUUAUACAGGAAGACCUAAGUUGCAGGGCAGAUGGUGUCAGGAUUGUAAAGAGUUUCAUCAGGCUAAAGAUGGUGAUGGAUGGGUUGAGCAGUCAUUUCAACCGGUCCUAUUUGGGAUGCUGCACAAGCCCGAUCUGCCUCGUGCAUUUGUUUGUGCUGAAAGCAGCAUUUUUGAUGUCACCGAGUGGUUCAGCUGUCAGGGAAUGAGAUGCCCACCGAACACGCACAAGCCGACCUUCCACGUGAAUGCCAGCUUGGCAAAGCAAGGUAGUGGCAAAGGGAGCACCUCAGGGCCAAGGGGUGGAAUCCCGAACAUGGAUGCAGGAGUCGAUGAGGAGUUCUUUGAGUGGCUGCAGAACGCUAUGCAGUCUGGCAUGUUUGAGGCGCAAGGCGACCCCCCUUCUCCAGGCAGCGGAACCCAUGCAAAGAGUAGUGGUGGUGGUGGCGGCGGCGGUAGUAGUAACAGGAAAAAGAGGAAGGGCAAGAAGCAGUGGUAA